rnacentral:lncRNA from 1 species
GCUGAAACUCAUCCGUACUCAGAGACCGUUCUCAGACCGAACAGUCCGGAGUUGAGUUCAGAGCCGCUCGAGCUGUUGUGCGGACUCGACAUUCCAUCGCUACUGGGACUUCAAGCAGUCAACCCCGUUUUUGUGCACGUACACACACACCCACCAACCAACCAACCAACCAACACACGCCACUAUCCGUCAUACA